rnacentral:rRNA from 1 species
UUUCGCUCUUAGAAGUUUGUAUCUCGUGUGUGGUAGUNGUUAGGAUUAAAAGCCCAACUAGCUAUACGCACGCAGUCGUAACUGAAAGGUUGAUCGACCACAGUGGGCCUGAAUAAAGCCCAUGACGAUUGUCACAGCAGUGAGGAAUAUUGGUCAAUAGCCUAACGGCUGAACCAGCAACUUGGAGGAAUGUAUAGCAAUAGCUACUUGUAUCAUUGUAGAUAUGAUGCAAGAUCGACUAUGUCGAAUAAAAUUCUAGGUAGAAUUAUGAUAAUGACAUUGUCUGCCUAUGUGUCUUGACCAAAUUACGUGCCAGCAGUCGCGGUAAUACGUAGAAGACUAGUGUUAUUCAUGUUUAAUCGGUUUAAAGGGUACCUAGACGGUAAAUCAAGCCUAACAAAUGAAGGGACUAAUUUGCUAGAGUUACUUAUGAGGGGGUAUUAAAGUACUGCUGGUGUAGAGAUGAAAUUCUGUCAUACCUCUUUUCAAUAGAAAAAUAAUGGCACAGGUAUAGGCGAAAGCAUCCCCUUAUGUGAUAACUGACGUUGAGGGACGAAGGCUUUGUGUAGCGAACAGGAUUAGAUACCCCAGUAGUCAAAGCAGAAAAUGAUGAAUGUCAUAGAUUAGAUAUAUAAGUUUAUUCUAUAAAUGAAAGUGUAAGCAUUCCACCUCAAGAGUAAUUUGGCAACAUUGGAACUGAAAUCAUUAGACCGUUUCUGAAACCAGUAGUGAAGUAUGUUGUUUAAUUUGAUGACCCGCAAAAAACCUUACCACAAUUUG